CCCAUAGUUGCCCCCCAGAAACUGGGUUUCACCUCUUCCCUGUACUACCAAAAACCAGAGGCCCAAUUCCCGAG
rnacentral:tRNA from 1 species